rnacentral:lncRNA from 1 species
GAAUCAGGGUUGUAGGCUAGGGGCUCAUAGAGUUCUUCGUACUCCUCACCCGGGGUUGGGUGUGGGAUAGCAGGGUCACCCAUAGAUGAUUAGUGUUUUAAUAUGUCCCCUUAUGAUUGUUAGUAUGGUAGUUAUGGUUUGUUAUUAUUGCGUGCGACUGUAUUUAUGUUUCUUAUGUUUACAUAAUUAUUUACGUUAUUUCUGCGGGAUUUACUAAUGCUCUAUUGUUUUGUUUUGUCUUGUUUUUGU